GACUUGGUCAUGAAUGCCUAUCAGUGGGAUAUGUUCUGAAUUUGAAAAACCAUGCAGUUCAGAAUUGGUUUAAAGUAUGUUUUAAAAAAAGCCAGAAAAGUCAAAAGUAUUUUUCGCUGAUUAUUUUAGGAAAUAGUUGUCAGUAAAAUCACUAAAAUCUCUUUCAAUAACCAUUCAGUAAAAGAUAAAAUUAAACCAUUGUCCAUAUAAUCACAGCCUUAUUGACCAAUUAAUGAUUCCAAUCUGACAGCAACUGAGACAAAAUUUUACCUUUAUUUAAUCACUCCUUGCCUGAAACAUAUUUCCAUAUUUAUCCAUCUGAAUUUUAAGUUCCAUAACAAGUAUUGUUUUCCCUUUUCCUAUGGAUACCCGAACAUAGCGCCUUGCCAUGAAAUUGUAUUUUCUAAAGCAUUUUUGUUUGAUUUUAUUGUUUUAGUAGAAUAAUUUAUAUUUUCCAUGCCUCUUUAUUUUAAAUUCUAACCAAGGCUAUUAAAACACAAAUUGAAAAUGUUACCUAUUUUUAUAAUCUUAAAUCCUAAAUUACCAAUUUUUAAAUUAUGAUUUCUUUCUCCUACAUAAAUGAAUUAAUAGAAGACCUAACACCUUAAAAAAAAAAAAAAAAAACAUAAGGGCCAAUUAGCCGACCACAGUUACAGUUACAAUCUGCCCCAGUGCUUUAUUUCUCAAAUCCUUUGAACUUUUUGAUCGUCCUCAUCUUAAUUAGUUUGGGUUACUUUAACAACUUUCCACAAACUGGGUGGCUUAAACAACAAACAUUUAUUUCUUGCAGUUUUGGAAGCUGGGAAAUUCUUGAUCAAGGUGCACACAGAUCCAAUGUCUGAUGAGGGCCCAUUCGCCGACUUACAGAGGGAUAUCUUCUCAUUGUAUCCUCUGUCACUCUUCACUGGCAAAAAUCUAAUCAGCACGUCCUGCACAUGUAUCCUGGACAUUAAAUAAAAUAAAAUAUUAAAGUAAAUCUCAAUAUUAUGCCUACUAUAAAAUCAAAAUUGUGCCCCAUUAAAUCUUCAGGCUUUUUUCUAAUUUUUAUGUGAAAAUAAUAAUAUAUUAUUUUUAUUAUUUCCUAUGAGACGAGUUGGCAAGCUCUUUUUGCAAACAACUAAGGAAUAAAUAUUUUAAGAUUUACAGGACUUACAUUCUCUGUUGCACAUUUAUAUUUCUUUUUGUUUUUACACUUUAUAACCCUUUGUAAAUGUAAAAACCAUGCUCAUUUCUUAGGCUAUACAAAAUCACGUUACAGACUGAAUGUACUUUAUGGACUAUAGUUUGCCAACCCCUAUAAAAAUUAACAGUAAUUUUAAUCCAUAUUUUUAGUUUCCUCAGGUUAGCUCAACAAAGAAAGGCCAGUAGCCUCAUUAUUAUAAAUAAAUAAAUAUAUACAUAUAAUAAGGAGGCUAUA
rnacentral:lncRNA from 1 species